rnacentral:lncRNA from 1 species
CCGGUGCGACGCAGGGCAACCUUUAGUCCCACCUCGCCUAGCGAGGGGCGCUUGCAGUGCUUUAUAAGCACUGUCGCGCCUUGCUCAAUUGAGCUUCUCUCUAUUGCAGGCUUGUGGGCCUAACUCUCCUCUCGCUGCAUGUUGGGCCUAUUGGGCCCGUGGCCCUGCAUCCUGGCCCACCUGUCGGGUAGGGUUUCUAGUCGUAUGCAGGCCGUGAUGGCCCAAUAGGCGGAUUUUUUUACUUUAAUAAUUUUUAGUCCUAGUUUAUAUUUUAAUUCUUUGCUAUUAAAUAUUUUUUAUCUCUUCUAUUUUAGUUUUCUAUUGAGUUGAUCUUUUUUUGUUUUUUUUAGUUAAUGUUUUACUUGAUUCUUUCCAACAAAUAAGCACUUUGAUAAUUUUAGUUAAUUAUUUUUAAUUCAUUCAUUUUAGUUAAUAUUUAGUUGAUUCUUUUUAGUUGACUCUUUUUUUUUGUUUUCUAUUAAGUAUUUUAACAAAAAAAACUUUAUGAAAUUUCUGACUUCGUUUGAUAUUUUUCGUGAAUUUACUUAUUUUUUUUGAGCUAGUUGACCCUGAAAUUGAAAAGCACUACAAAUAAACUCUAAAAAUGUUGAAAUUGGCAUGGUAUCAUCAUUUUCACCCACAUAGCAUGUGCUAGAAAGUUGAGAGGGUUACGGCAAAAACUGGAUGCACUUCGUGUACAAAACGGACAAUCUCUCUCAAAGUAUCAGGGUUCCAAACGAGAACUCGUCUGUUACAAAGGGAUUUCAUUUUUUGUAAUUAUUUGAACUCCAUACAUUUUGUGUGUUAAAAAAGCACCAUUCAAAGGCACAUCACAAAAUUUCAACAAUUUCUGACUUCGUUUGAUAUUUUUCGUGAAUUUUCUUUUUUUUUUAGAGCUAGUUGACCCUGAAAUUGAAAAGCACUACAAAUGAACUCCAAAAAUGUUGAAAGUUGGCAUGGUAUCAUCAUUUUCACCCACAUAGUAUGUGUUAGAAAGUUGAGAGGGUUACGGCAAAAACUGGAUGCACUUCGUGUACAAAACGGACAAUCUCUCUCGAAGUAUCACGGUUUCGAACGAGAACUCAUAUGUUACAAAGGGAUUUCAUUUUUGUAUUUAUUUGAACUCCAUACAUUUUGUGUGUUCAAAAAGCAUCAUUCAAAGGCACAUCACAAAAUUUCAACAAUUUCUGACUUCAUUUGAUAUUUUUCGUGCAUUUAAUUAUUUUUUUGAGCUAGUUGACCCUAAAAUUGAGAAGCACUACAAAUGAAAUCUGAAAAUGUUGAAAGUUGGCAUGGUAUCAUCAUUUCACCCACACAGCAUGUGCUAAAAAUUUGAGAGGGUUACGACAAAAACUGGAUGCACUUCGUGUACAAGACGGACAAUCUCUCUCGAAGUAUCACGGUUUCGAACGAGAACUCAUCUGUUACAAAGGUAUUUCAUUUUUUUGAACUUAUUUCAACUCCAUACUUUUUGUGUGUUUAAAAUGCACCAUUCAAAGGCAUACCACAAAUUUUCAACAAUUUUCGACUUCAUUUGGUAUUUUUCGUGCAUUUACUUUUUUUUAGCUAAUUGAUCCUGAAAUUGAUAAGCACAACAAAUGAAAUCUGAAAAUGCUGAAAGUUGGCAUGGUAUCAUCAUUUCACCCACAAAGCAUGUGCUAAAAAGUUGAGAGGGUUACGGCAAAAACUGAAUGCACUUCGUGUACAACACGGACAAUCUCUCUCGAAGUAUAAGGGUUUAGAACGAGAACUCAUGUGUUACAAAGUGAUUUCAUUUUUUUGAACUUAUUUGAACUCCAUACUUUUUGUGUGUUCAAAAUGCACCAUUCAAAGGCACAUCACAAAUUUUCAACAAUUUCUAACUUCAUUUGGUAUUUUUCGUGCAUUUACUUAUUUCUAUUAACUAUUUUGUUAUUUUCAAUUAAAAACUAUGUUUAUUAAAAUUCUUUUUGCAUAUUUGAGAAUUUGACAAAACUAUGAAAAUGAAAAGUGUUUGAAAUUGAAUAAUUAAUUCAAAACUAUUUUCUAUUUUCAAAAUUAAUUAUUUUGACUAUCCAAACUAUUAACUAUUUUGUUAUUUUCAAUUAAAAACUAUGUUUAUUAAAAUUCUUUGCAUAUUUGAGAAUUUGACAAAACUAUGAUAAUGAAAAGUGUUUGAAAUUGAAUAAAUAAUUCAAAACUAAAAGAUUUAGUACAUUCCAUACAUGCAUUACAUAAAAGGUUUAAUACAUUAUUACAUUAUUGCACCAAUAUUCCUAUCUAUUAUUUCUGUUUUCUUCUGGGUCGUAGUCAUGGAGAAUCUUCAUCAUUCAGUAGGAUGCUUAGGUCAGUUUUUACUUUGAAGGACGGAAUUUCGUGAAACUUAUUAUAAUCUAGUGACAUGUCUGUCUUGUCAUCUACUCCCACGAUGUUUCUUUUCCCUGAAUGAACUAUGUGGCGUUUUGGCUCAUCGGACGAUAUCUUUUUUUUGCUGAUUUCUUUUUCUCGUUUUUGUAGACAUGUCCUUCACAUAGAAAACCUGAGUGACAUCAUUGGCUAGGACAAAUGGUUCGUCCAUGUACGCAAGAUUGUUGAGAUUCACUGUUGUCAUGCCGUACUUUUGGUCUACAACUACCCCGCCUCCUGUCAGCUUCACCCAUUUGCACCGAAACAAAGGGAUCUUAAAAGUAGGUCCAUAAUCAAGUUCCCAUAUCUCCUCUAUGUACCUGUAAUAUGUUUCCAAACAGUGCCCAUUCUCGUCUGUUGCAUCAAAGCGGACACCACUAUUUUGGUUGGUGCUCUUUUUAUCUUGGGCAACCGUGUAAAAUGUAUUCCCAUUUAUCUCAUACCCUUGGAAAGUACAUAUAGUCGAAGAUGGUGGCCUGGCCAAACAGUACAGUUGAUCUCCAACGGUGUCGUCAUUCAUGAGAUGUGUCUGCAACCAACUGCCGAAAGUCUUCUCGUGUUCCCCUUUAAUCCAAGAGUCAGCCUUCCCCGGGUUUUCGGAGCGUAGAAUAUUCUUGUGUCUCACGAUAUACGGAGCCACCACGGUGGAAUUGUGUAGAAUUGUGUAGUGUGCUUGAGAGAAAGAAUGUCCGUCCAUACAUACUUUUGCUUUCCUUCCUAGUGUGCCUUUUCCUGUCAGCCUACCCUCAUACCGAGAUUCAGGAACUGUUGGAAUUAUGCCCUAGAGGCAAUACUAAAU